AUGCAUGAUGCAAGAUUUGCAUUUCGCAUUAACGCCUGAAUACCCCUAGUACGUUUUAUCAGUGCACUUGCACAAGAUUCGCAUUCGCAAAAACUCCGAAUUUAUUGUCGCGAAUAUGGGUUCGAGUGCGAAUGUUAAAAUUAAUGCGGAAGAUCCGCGGUAGCGAAUGCGAAUUUUCGUAACUACCCUGGUAUGUAUGUAAAAGUGUAACUGCAUGUGUAUUGCAUUUUUCGUAGCGAAGCAAUAUACUCGUAGAACACUCUAGCCAAUGCAACAUUUAAACUUUGAGAGCAAAACGAUAAAUUAUGUAUCUCUGCAGUUGAGGUUUAAUUGAAUGAACUUUUUUCAAUUUAGUGUAUUAAGAUUUUUCCUUAGAGGUCAUUGAAUUUUAUUUUCUUCGUUUUUUGUAUAGUGUACAUUCAAAGAGUAAAUACUUACAUAUGUAUGUAAAGAUAAAUUUACAUAAAUUCUGACGCUAUGCUCGUAAAAUAAUUCUAUAGUUGCACAUGUAUGGACACGUGAAGAACCACAUGCCCAGCAUCACUCUGAGAUUGGGUAGCACAUUUGCAAUCUGUAAUACGGGAUAGAAGAAGUUUUUAAUUAUUAUCGUUAGUGAAAGGCAACUAAAGCUGCGAACACUAAAAUAGCAGUAGCUAUGAGUGUACAUACUACAUAAACAUGAGAUUCAAUUAAUCGAUAAUAACCAGGGAACGGAUUUUUAGAACCUAAAAACCUAUAAAAAAGGCAAAAUAAAAUAGCGAAACAGGCAGGAAAAGGCACUAGAAAUCGCAGAAAAAGCAAAAGAAGGCAUGGAAUAAAUAUGGAACACUUAAAACUUUCUUCAUAUUAUCAGUAAUAAGGCUCUUUCCUUGCCCUUUACAAUUAAAGGCUUUCUGGAAAAAAAGGCAACAUAAAAUGUGUAUACAUAUAUGGAAUCGGGGAAAGCUAAAUCGUAGACACUCUUAAUCGAAUAUACUCUAACAAUUAUUAUUAUUUAUGAAUAAGGCCAUAAGUCUUUAGCAGAAAAAAAGGGCAAUUUCCAUUAAAUGCGUUCCCUGAUAAUAACUUAUAAAUUAUACGAUUUUCGUUACAUGCUUGGCAAAGAAAA